UCAGUCCACCUAUAUCCGUGUGCUGUUUACGGUACAAUUUAUGGAAGAAGUGGUAUUCAGGCAUGCUGGUGGUGAUGAUGAAUUUGGGGUCUUUAACGCCUAAAGCAGGCAAUUAGCCAAACUAUUCCUUCUAUUUAUUCUGGGGGGAGUUUUCCAGCCACCAUUCUUGAGUCAAGGACACGUUUGCCACUUCCGUAGGAUCUUGCUGUACUGAUCACACCGGUUUAAUUCGAUGGACUACUGCCCCCUUCCCUCCAAAAGCCCUGUAGUAGGAAAAGCCACAGUGGAAGAACUUACCAUCUUGAAGGGGAAGCAUGGAGUUGGACCACCCAGUGAAUCUACAAAGCAAGGAGACCUACAGUGAUUACCUACUGUGAUACUUAUUUGCCAAACUAAAGCCACUGAAGCCACAAAGACAUCUUGGGUUCUUCCCUACGGCUCCACUGAUUGUCAUGAAAUGCUUUGUUUCAGUGAAGAGCAUGCUUGUUUGUCCUAAGAGGCUCCCGGUCCUACCACAGCCGCUUCCAUUCACUUGUCAGUGCGUGUCUGGUUUUCUCAUCACAACUGCAAAUUCUGCACUCUAGGUGUCUCCCUGCUUCAGAGACUCAGCUGCAGUACCGGAGAUCACAACCUCCUGUAAACCUCUUGAACUGUCUUCCCUCGAAGCCGAUACAAGGGGGCAAUUCUAAAGCCUGGGUUUUCAUUCCUUCAGCUUCAUUUUCCCCAAAACCUCACUGACAAAAGUCCCUUUUGUCUACUACAGCCUCUCCUUUUAUUCACCUCCAGUUCCCAGAUCCUCCUUUUUCUGGUUUUCCUGAAAAGGCAGUAUAUUGCUAUUUGUACACGUUGGAAGCAGGACUGUCCUCUACUAGAAGAGGAAUAUAAAAUUGAAAUCAGGUAUAGAAAUUAGUGUUGGGGGUAGAGAGUGUUUAUGGUUGGGGAGAGAUCAUUCUGGUAUUCCAUACUUUCUUCAUUUCAUGUUUAGAAAAAAAAAUUUUUUCCUUAAUUCCCAGGUAUUAUUUGAGGGAUAUACAUGUAUCCUAUAUUUUGUACAUUACAAAAAGAAUCCAAUGACUUAGAAGUUUGAAGGAGGGUAUGUCUCCUGGGACAGCAGCAGUUUGAAUAAGAGCCACAGUUAAUGUGUCCUUCCUUGAAGCUUCGUGGGGGGGGGGGGGGUGGUGUUGAAAGGAAAAGUGGAAAACAUCAUGGAGAAAAGGUUUAUUGUCCCUGGAGGCUAGCCUUCAGUCAGAAAAUAGCAGUUCCCACCCCAAAUGAUAGCGAUGGGAUGACAGAUGGUGAGUGGGCAUGGGGUCGUGCAGAAAUCUCAGAAACUGAAGGAUUGUGUAUUGCUAAUGUGUAAAUGCCCUACCCUGCAUCUGACCCUUUUGUGUUAGACUGGAAAAGGCAACCACAGAUUCCUUCCAUGUUCAGGUGCCCACCUUUCUGCCAUACGACUUUGCUACUUUCUCCAUGAAGAAGUGGAAGGUGCAGCAUCCCCAGCACCAGCACAUGGCACCGUACGAGGCACCAGAGUGGCAGUGUUGGCCGUGUGGGGCUCUUUAUAGUUUCUGAGAGCCCCGAGCUCUCUCUCUUCUCCCAGUCCUUGGGGUGGGAGCUGCUGUGCCUUUUUGGCUUUUCCAUUUCUCCCAGUUCAUUUAGCCAGUUCCCCACAUUAAAUUCUCUUUGUUAAAAUACCCAGUGUGGAUUCGAUAGACACUGUGUUCAAACUCUAAUGGCAUUAAGACAGCUCCUAGGUUGGUUGCUGCAUUGAGCUAACUAUGCAUAAGAAACUAACCCCAUCUGCCUUGCUCUUAAGGGAUCUCUUCCUAGGAUCCACAGAUGGGACAGUCUGGAUUGCAGAUUUGUAGAAAAUCUGAUUAUAUGGUCACAGCAGGAGAGGACAUGAAACACCUCAAACCCAGUGGGAGAGAGUAAAUGCUGAGAAAUGUGCAUGGUUUCCACCUUUCUCCACAUCACAGAGUUGUGCUUACACACGGUCUCCCUGUAAGUAGAGGAACCCACAGCUCAACUUGGUCACAAAUUGCCACUAUGAGCAGAGAAAGGUGUGAGAGGUCACAGAGGCCGGGCCCAAGCUCACGGGUGUGCUUUGCUGUGGGUGAAUUUGGAAACACCCCCUCUGGGAUCUGCAGGUCUGCAGGGCAUGGCGUGUGUUGGGAGCAAUGGCCGUGCCCCUCUGUUCUCACACACCAGGCCAUGUCCCCCAGGGGAAGCAGCCAUGCUCUGCAAUGCCUCUCAAUCGAUGCAGUUUACAAUCCCGUCUGCUGACUCAGGGCCUGACCGGAUGCCAACGGGGACGAAGUGACUGCGUCAUGUCUCAGCUCAGCCCCUCGGCACUCAGCUUCCAUGAGGAGAGCGUGCCAGCGGCGGCCACCGGC